AUUGAACGCUGGCGGCAUGCUCUACACAUGCAAGUCGAACGGUAACAGGCCGCAAGGUGCUGACGAGUGGCGAACGGGUGAGUAAUGCAUCGGAACGUGCCCAGUCGUGGGGGAUAACUACUCGAAAGAGUAGCUAAUACCGCAUACGAUCUAUGGAUGAAAGCGGGGGACCGUAAGGCCUCGCGCGAUUGGAGCGGCCGAUGUCAGAUUAGGUAGUUGGUGGGGUAAAGGCUCACCAAGCCAACGAUCUGUAGCUGGUCUGAGAGGACGACCAGCCACACUGGGACUGAGACACGGCCCAGACUCCUACGGGAGGCAGCAGUGGGGAAUUUUGGACAAUGGGCGCAAGCCUGAUCCAGCAAUGCCGCGUACAGGAAGAAGGCCUUCGGGUUGUAAACUGCUUUUGUACGGAACGAAACGGCUCUGGUUAAUACCCGGGGCUAAUGACGGUACCGUAAGAAUAAGCACCGGCUAACUACGUG
rnacentral:rRNA from 1 species